GGCGAACGCUGGCGGCGUGCUUAACACAUGCAAGUCGAACGGUGAAGCGCCUUCCUUUUUGGUGGGUGUGGAUGAGUGGCGAACGGGUGAGUAACACGUGAGUAACCUGCCCCCUUCUUCUGGAUAACCGCAUGAAAGUGUGGCUAAUACGGGAUAUUCUGGGUCUGUCGCAUGAUGGGUCUGGGAAAGAUAUUGUUUCGGUGGGGGAUGGGCUCGCGGCCUAUCAGCUUGUUGGUGGGGUGAUGGCCUACCAAGGCGGUGACGGGUAGCCGGCCUGAGAGGGUGGACGGUCACACUGGGACUGAGACACGGCCCAGACUACGACGGGAGGCAGCAGUGGGGAAUAUUGCACAAUGGGCGCAAGCCUGAUGCAGCGACGCCGCGUGAGGGAUGGAGGCCUGCGGGUUGUGAACCUCUUUCGCCAGUGAAGCAGGCCUGCCUCGUUUGUGGGUGGGUUGACGGUAGCUGGAGAAGAAGCGCCGGCUAACUACGUG
rnacentral:rRNA from 1 species